UGACCUCGGAUAAGUCGUGAUUACCCGAUGAAGUAAAGCAUAUUACUAAGCGGAGAAAUAGAAACUUACCAGGAUUCCUCUACUAACGGCGAGUGAAGAGAGAAUAGCCCAGAACCGAAGCCUGUGGUAGGUUAACUGCUAGGCAAUGUGGUGUUUGGGUCGACUCGCGAGAUUGCCAUUUCUCUUGAAGUCCAGCACUGAGUAUGGUUCCCUGGAUUAGGCCCAGAGUGGGUGAAAGGCCCGUGCGAGUGGAGGUUCAGACAUGUGAGGCAAUUUGCCAGGUCAACCUUCGAGUCGGGUUUUUUGGGAGUGCACCCCAAAAAGGGUGGUAAAAUCCAUCCAAGGCUUAAUACAAGCACGAGUCCGAUAGCGAAAAAAAUCCGUGAGGAAACGUUGAAAAGUACUUGAAGAGAGCGUAAACAGUACGCGAAACCGCAACGAGGUAAACGGGUGGGAUUGGGAGAAAUUGGGAUUGGGAUUUUUUGGAGAAAUGUUGUAUAGAAGAAACUUCUUAGUCACGGUCAGACACGCUUGAGGUUAGUUUGGUUCUGUAGUUAAUAUUUAGGCUUGGGUAUAGAAAUGGUUAUAAGACGAACUUACUUCUUUACAGUCAGAAAUGUUGGAGGUUAGUAAAGGUCUGAAAUCAAUAAUUGUGUUUGUGUGAAGAAAUGAUUAUAAGAAGAAGCUUUUCAUUCACGGUCAGAAAUGCUGGAGUUUAGUUAAGUUCUGAAGUCAAUACUUUGGUUUGUGUGUAAAAAAUAGUGGAAUGGAAGAAGCUUCUCAGUCAUGGUCAAAAACGCUGGAGUUUAUUUAGUUUCUGAAGUAAAAGUCUUGGGUUUGGUUGUAGAAAUGGUGUAUGGAAUAAGCUUUUCAGUCGCGGUCAGGAAUGCUGAAAGGUUUAUUAGAUUCUGAAAAAAAUAAUUU
rnacentral:ncRNA from 1 species